AACUUACACUUUUUUUAACUUUUCAAGGUGUUUCAAAUCUUCUUGACUGAUAUGUGUUAUAAGGUUGUCUGCAAAAUCUCUGAGGAAAAAGAACAUGUAAGCAUAAAAAAGUUACAUCAUUAUUACAAAGUGUAAUCGCAAUCUCUGUUCGUUACCGGGAGAUACCAAUACAUAUUUUUUACUUACGCUACCAGAAUUUCCUUUGGUAUCUCGGGUAUUUUGCUAAGUCCAACCCCCCUGCACUGUAGCUCUUUUCCAUACUGAAGUAUCUUACAUCCGGGGUAGGCGCUCUUCUCUCCGCUCGCAAGAGCAACCACAACUCCAACCAACGCUAUACGGAGCAAAAUCCGAUGCCUGGACAUUCUUUUUUUUUUGUUUUCACAUCUUUCUGUUGUCUUGGUCCGACUUUUGAUGUGACGUAAUAAAAACUAACGACCAGCUAAUUGGGUGCGCACGAGAUAAACUCUCAAUUACGUCACCCGAAGAAACACGCGCGUGAAACUAAUACGCGCAGGCUUCAAUGCAAGCGUGCGCGUUGCCAGUCCAAUUUGACGUCAGAAUACCAUUUCAAAAUACGUCAACGUUGUGUAACGAAAUGGCUCAAGCGUUUCUUCUAAACAUCCUUGUAUUGGCUUUCUUCCUCUUUCAAACACAGACUAAUGAAAGUGCUUCUCUACUGCAUGACGCCAAUCAGGCAUCUACUAGAGUAAAUGAAAAGUCAGAAAGUUUUCCAGCAGGAUGCAGGCUGUAUCAAAAUAGAAAACUUCUGCAAUGCCGUAACGCUGGGCUGCAAACCAUCCCUGAGCUAAAAGAGGAAUGGAACAUAUUUUCUGUGUAAGUUAGCUUAUGUCGUGUGAUACUUUUGGAACAGUGAUACCGAUAUUUCUAAACAGUCGGGAAAAUAUUUCAAUCAUUUUUUGUCACCAGUGAUCUUUCUACAAACAACAUCUCAAGUCUCCAAUUCGGAGAUGGCUACAAAAACGUUAAAUCUGUGUGAGUAUAUGGUGUGUUUUUGGGUUGUUGCACUUUUCUCAAUACGCUUACCAGGGCUGUUCAAUUUACAAUCUGAUUUAUUUUUGCAGCAAUUUGGAGCGAAACAACAUUACGACUAUAACAGAAGAAUUAAUUCUGGAACUCCGACACAUUCACUUCCUGUAAGUGCAGAAAAAGUUUGUUUGAAAAUUAUUUAUGUAACUUGCUACAUUUUAAAAGAACAGAACGAUAUAUUUGAACUGUCUCCCCAAAACCAACAAUGACUGGGAGGUUAGAUCGCAAGGUAUUUUAAACUUGUGAGAGUUUCAAAAUAUGACUGCUUGUCGCCUCGCCUAGGGCUGUAAAAUGAAGAUGCUGUUUGGCUGUUCAGGGCGAGUUUGUUGGCUAUACCGAUCAGGCUUGCUCAGGUGAGGCUCAGAUUGGUCUUCUUUAGGGGUCUAAUUAAAGUUUUCCCACGAGCAUAUCCAAGUUUUCAACAUGGGAGUCCUUUCGGUUCAAAGUUGGUCAAAACCGUGUUACUGUCUCAACCUAGUCUGAUCAAUUACAUCGUUUACGAACAAAAACCCAAGAAGUUCCUUAGCUCGAUCGAGGCGCAUUUUGAUUCCAGAACAGCACACUAAAACCCUCUCGCACCAAUUUAUUCGUCAAAUAUCCUGAAUAGUACAUCCGUGGUUAACCUGCGCAUCCAGUGAGUUUUGGAAGAGUACUUAAUUAUAGAGGCUACCCGUAACAGAAAUAUUGAGAAUUCGGAACAUUCCAUAGUGCCUCUAUAUGUUACUGUUUGUCUAGGUCCAUCGGAGGAAACCCACUUCACUGCGACUGUAAACUUAAAUGGCUUCGUGAGCGGCUUCUCGGCUCAAACAACCAAUUUCCGUACGUAAGACAUAUUCAGGAUCUGAAAUGUGCCACACCGUCACGUUUGCAGGGAAGGAUUCUUGUAAAUCUCUCAGAAGAAGUGUUAUGUGGCUCUAAACCAGAGGACAGACUUCUAAGAUCUACGACUUCAGUUCCCACAAUUGAGGAGGAAAAGUUGGCCAACGCAACUGCAACAACUAAACCAGACGAGGCACGACAAAAAGCUGAGAAGGGGCGAGUUGCUGAGAUCAUCGGAGUGACUUUAGCUUUUGCUGCUGUAAUAGUUACCAUGUCUGUCGCUUUCAUUCUCAUUUGAUGUGUAUCUCUCCCCGAAAUAUCAGUUAGUAUUUGACUACAUCUUGCAAGGAUAAAUUUACCCAGUCAGAUAAUGAAAUAAUAAAUAUCUUUAUUAUAGGCAGUUUGCCGGCAUUGACUGCAAGAACUGGGUGCUCAAUUUUUCUUGUUUCCCUCCAUUAUCCGAGCGCAAAUAGUCUGCAACCGUUUCACUAUUUCAUAAUAAUUUAUUCAUAAUAUUCUGACCAAACAAUAUUUGCUACAGAACUUGAGGAGCAUCUCAGUAUUACUUUUAUCUGUCAUAUCAUUGAAAGGGCUAAGUCACUGUAUUUUAAGCAUCUUUGGUUAACUUCAAAUUGGCAGACUAACAGCCUUUCAUUGGCAACAUCACGGUCUCAUUACUGAACAAACAAAUACGGUUUCAAAGACUACCAUAUGACAUGACACUUUCGUACAAAAUGAGAUAACCUUUGAAUAGAUGGAAAAACGAUCAAGGCGUGAAAGGAGCCUUGAUCGUUUUUCUAUCUAUUCAAGUUGUCAAACUUGAGUAAUACAACAGGUUACUCAGUAAACACUGUCCAUGUUUGGUGUAAAGGCGCUGUUCAGACAUGCAACCGCAGAAAACCACAUAACUAGCGCGGCUAGCAUUGGAAAAGAGAAAGCGCGGGAAGACAUGCACUACCAACAGGUGGCUGGCUAACAGAAAGCGCGGGAAAACAUGUUAUGCCAGCGACAAGUUACAAAGUAACUACCGGUGGUUAGUGCGGGAAAACCUGUAACUACCACGACUUUUCCGGGCUUGAUAUUGGUUAAACGUUUUAACGUUUGGUCAAAAUUCGCUCUGAUUGUAACUUUCGUCAUUUUUUUCUAACCACUAUAAAGCGGAGUUAACGCAAAACCGGAACGAGCUAUAAUAAUUAUGGCUCGUUCAACAGCAGCCUUAAACAACCUCUUUCCUAAACAAA